rnacentral:rRNA from 1 species
GACGAACGCUGGCGGCGUGCCUAAUACAUGCAAGUCGAACGCAGUGGGGACGGGUGAGUAACACGUGGGUAACCUCCCAUCAGAGGGGAUAACACUUGGCAACAGGUGCUAAACCGAUACUGAUGGAUGGACCCGCGGUGCAUUAGCUAUUUGGUGAGGUAACGGCUCACCAAGGCCACGAUGCAUAGCCGGCUGGAGAGGAUGAUCGGCCACACUGGAACUGAGAAACGGCCUAGCCUGCUGCGGGAGUCAGCAGUAUGCAAUCUUCGGGAAUGGACAAAGGUCUGACUGAGCAACGCGGUAUGAGUGACGAAGGUUUUCGGAUCGUGAAUCUCUGUUGUUAGAGAAGCGUGAUCGAACCAGAAAGCCACGGUUAACUACGUGCCAGCGGCCGCGGUAUUC